GAUGAACGCUGGCGGCGUGCCUAAUACAUGCAAGUCGAGCGGACGGACGCGACGCUUGCUUCUCUGAUGUUAGCGGAGGACGGGUGAGUCACACGUGGAUAACCUACCUAUAAGACUGGGAUAACUUCGGGAAACCGGCGCUAAUACCGGAUAAUCUUUUGAACCGCAUGGUUCAAUAGUGAAAGACGGUCUUGCUGUCACUUAUCGCUGGAUCUGGGCUGCAUUAGCUAGUUGGUAAGGUAACGGCUUACCAAGGCAACGAUGCAUAGCCGACCUGCGAGGGGGAUAGGCGACACGGGAAGGGGACCAGGGACAUGAGGCCUACGAGAGGCAGCAGAAGGGAAUGUGCCGCAAUGGGCGAGAGCAUGACGGAGCAGCGCGGCGUGAGUGAUGAAGGUGUUCGGAGCGUAAAACUCUGUUAUGAGGGAAGAACAGAUGUGUAAGGAACUGAGCACAGCGUGACGGUACCGAAUCAGAAAGCAACGGCUAACUACGUG
rnacentral:rRNA from 1 species